rnacentral:rRNA from 1 species
CAGAGGUCCCAAGCGUUGUUCGGAUUCACUGGGCGUAAAGGGUGCGUAGGUGGCGAGGUAAGUCGGAUGUGAAAGCUCGGAGCUCAACUCCGAAAUGGCAUUGGAAACUACCUUGCUCGAGGGUUGAAGGGGGACUGGAAUGCUUGGUGUAGCAGUGAAAUGCGUAGAUAUCAAGCGGAACACCAGUGGCGAAGGCGAGUCCCUGGACAACUCCUGACACUGAGGCACGAAAGCUAGGGGAGCAAACAGGAUUAGAUACCCUGGUAGUCCUAGCCGUAAACGGUGCACGUUUGCUGUAAAAGGAAUCGACCCCUUUUGUGGCGUAGCCAACGCGUUAAACGUGCCGCCUGGGAAGUACGGUCGCAAGAUUAA